UUGCGGUGUUGUAUUAUUAUUCUUGUGACCAAUGUCAAAUGAACUAAAUAGAUCCACAAUAAAGAGAUCAUUUUCAGCAGUUUCUAAAUUAUAUGAGGAAAUAAUAUGCCCGAUAUGUUUGGACGUCAUGGAUGACGUUUUAAUAAGUAAGACUUGCCUUCACAGAUACUGCAAAAACUGCAUAACCACAUCUAUUAAUACUGGAACUAAGGCUUGUCCCAUUUGCAGAACAAAAAUCAUUUCUCGCAGAUCCCUUCGAUCGGAUCCUAUCUUCGAAAAUAUUGUUGAAUCGAUGAAGGUUUUUUCACCAACCAAAGACGAUGAGUGUUACCCAGAAAUGUUAAUAAUUAGAUUGGCGCCUUAUAAAAAUGUGAAUCUAUUUCCCAAUGGAAUUCAUGUCAUGGUUGAAACUAGGGCCAGAC